AAAGAAAAAAGGUCCCAGCGCACCUCCUAGACCAGAGAGGAGGGGUAGGUAUAGGUACCGCUGUUGCCGCUCGAGCUCCGCUGCCGCCGCGUCCAACUAACCUUAAGUCAAAACGUUCAGAGACGUCGCCAGUUAAUUUUUCUUCUACGGUACGAGUCAGAGCGAUGACGAUGCUUCUGAGAUUGUUUCUACAGAUCUUAGUCAGGGAGAAGCGUAGAGAUAGUUUAUUGUACUUUUGUAGUGUGAGUAAAAAACAAGUAUAAGAAUUCACAAGUAACAAGUAAUAAAAACAAGCAGCCAGACAUUCGAACGGAAGAGUCAGAAUUAAUAGUAAACGUAGAAAGAAGUCAGGAUAGAGAGUACCCAAAACAGAAAAUCAUCUACUAAUAAAGACAACACUUGGAAUACAAGGACAUUCACAAUUUUUUAAAGUCAAAAAACGUGACCAAAAAGACAAUCUAAUAAAAGUCAAAAAUCAGUAGUCAUAUGGAUUCAUAGUCAGAGUCAAGAAAAGUCGAUAUACAAUUCUCCAAUAAUAAAGCGGUCAUAGAAUUCACAGAGUAAAAUCAAGAGAAAUCAAUAAACCAGUCACAAACAAGAACAGAUAGUCAAAAUUCAAGUCAGUAAAUAAUCACAUGAAAGGUAAGUCGAAUAAUAAAAGUUAAAUAAAACAACAAGAACAUAAAAGUCGUAAGUAAAAUUUUACCAAUCUGAACGAUACACAAAUAUUAAGGACAUCACAUUUAAUCAAUAGACCACUCAGAGAUAAGAAUUAAAAAGUCAGUAGAAAAACGAUUGUUUAUCAAAAAAAAGAUGGUGUACACAUUGUCAUUAUCCCUACCACACGGUUUAGACGUUCAGGUUGACUCGAUCGGUAGCGAGUAGCCCAAAUUUAAAAGCACAAACUAACAGACUUCUGUAACUUUCGAGCCACCAUUGAAUCAAAACUUAUACGAAUUAAAUAGUCAUAUCAGAUCAAGGGACAGUACCAGUCAAUAAUCAAAUAGUGAUGUUAGAUGAAGAGACAAUACCAGUUAAAAAGUAAGUAGUCAGUAAAUAUCCUCCGAUACUACACCUAUAAUGGUGUGGAGGGACAUACAAAAUACUAUCGUACUAUCAACAGGACAAGUCAAUUUGUAAAGUAAAGAAGAAAUCAAACACAUACUAAAGUAAUAAAAAGAAAAGUCUAUAUUUGAAUCAGGAAAAUCGACUAUCUUAAUAUCGUUGAAAUCGAAAAAGUAUCUAAAGCAAAAAAGAUUAAAAGCCAGUAAUCAAAACAACGUAAAUAAAAGAAAAAAUCAGAUAGUUAAAAAUCUCAAAUCGAUAAACAGUCAGAGUAGACGUUUGCAGAGUACGGGGUUGUUCGUACUCCUAUCGGAUAGAAAACAAGAAGUAAAAGGUAAAAAAAACGAAAAAAGACGUCAAAUAGGGUACGGUGAGUUGCCCGCUUAAGUUAACGCGGUGACCGCUGGCGUACGACAAACUCCUUACACUCCCCGUGUUUAAGUAGUGGUUCUAGUCCUUUCUUGUGUCCUCCUGGACGUAGAGACCGUAACCCACCCUCCUCAAGUAGUCCAACUUGUUAGAGUCACUCCCUCAAAACGAGGUAAAACAUGAGCUAACUGGUCACGGUUUCAACGUAUAACCGUACCAACGCGGUGGAGGGUUGGUCCGACUAGAUCGCGAACUCCGACGAUACAAGUGCCUUCUGUAGUUCUUCUUCCGUUCUCUCACACGUUUCAACAUACUUUCAGAUGAUAUAACUGGUUGCCUAUGUACCCCACGGUAAACACGUAGAAAAAAACAAGUAAAAGUCACACUGGUAAGUAAGAAGUCAAAAGACCAGAGGUCAUAUAAGAACAACACCAGUCAAAACUUGAUCUCUUCUUUCAAUUUUCCCUGUAUAUCUAUUCGCUCUGAGACCAAACG
rnacentral:rRNA from 1 species